rnacentral:rRNA from 1 species
UUGAGACAAAAGAUAUUUUUUCUAAAAAGAUUCGAUUCGAAACUCUUAUAUGUCCAAGGUCAAUAUGAAAAUUCUUUCAGAGGUUUUCCCUUACUUUGUCCGUGUCAACAAACAAUUUGAAAUACCUCGACUAUUUCAGAACAGGUCCGAGGCUUCUCUCCUUGCCCCCACCGGACCGCCGUGUCGCCCCACCCCCACUCCAUAGGCACCUCCCCCGCGGCCUCCUCCGGCCCUCUUUCCCCAGCGGCGGCCUCCACUCCGGAACCCCCUCCAGCCCCGCCCCGCCGUCGCCCCUGCCUCCAGCCCUCCUCCGCCGCCCCCUCCAGCCACCAACUCCGCCACCGCAUAUGCCCAUCUCCGCAAACGGUGCUCGUGGUAUGCGCACCUGCUCGGAGCUUGGUCUUUGCAUUGUCAGGUACCCGCUUUCUUUGUCUCGCACGAUGUAUUCUUGUGACCAUGUGCGCACCUAAUUAG